UACGGGAGGCAGCAGUGGGGAAUAUUGGACAAUGGGCGCAAGCCUGAUCCAGCCAUGCCGCGUGUGUGAAGAAGGCCUUCGGGUUGUAAAGCACUUUUGUCCGGAAAGAAAAAGCUUAGGGUUAAUAACCUUGAGUCAUGACGGUACCGGAAGAAUAAGCACCGGCUAACUUCGUGCCAGCAGCCGCGGUAAUACGAAGGGUGCAAGCGUUACUCGGAAUUACUGGGCGUAAAGCGUGCGUAGGUGGUUUUGUUAAGUCUGAUGUGAAAGCCCUGGGCUCAACCUGGGAAUGGCAUUGGAAACUGGCUUACUAGAGUGCGGUAGAGGGGUGUGGAAUUCCCGGUGUAGCAGUGAAAUGCGUAGAUAUCGGGAGGAACAUCUGUGGCGAAGGCGACACCCUGGGACCAGCACUGACACUGAGGCACGAAAGCGUGGGGAGCAAACGAGGGAUUAGAUA
rnacentral:rRNA from 1 species